ACAAUCAGGCCGUAGUCAGGGUCAUCAACAAACAAACAUCAAAAUCUCCUAGGGUCAUGAGGCUUGUAAGGCGUUUUGUACUAACUUGCUUGGAAGCUAACAUCACUUUCUUAGCCCAAUAUAUUCCAGGUGUUCACAAUGAAGUAGAGGAUGCAUUGUCCCGUUUCCAGGACGACAGGUUUCGGUCGCUAGCACCAGAAGCAGACCUCCAGCCCACCAUUUUCCCACAGGAGCUGUGGACCCUUGGAGAGGAGAAGCCUGGUCGGAACUGAUGCUAACCAUUGCACCCGCAACCAGGAGGGCCUACCGUGCAGCUAUGACUACAUUCAUCAAAUUCAGGCUGGAAGCGGGGUACGGCAGCAGAUGGCCAACCAGCGAGGACGAGGUGCUACAUUUCAUCAUUCAUCAGAGGAGGGCCAACGUCUCAGCACACGCCAUGCGGCGGCAACUGGCAGGCAUUGCCUUCCACAGCAAAGCGGCAGGAUGGGGAGAUCCAUGCAAUGACUACCGAACAAGGAAGUUAUUGAGAGGAUGGAGCAAGCGGGCACCGAAGCAGAAAGAUGGAAGACGCCCCCUCUCUUACAACACUCUCAGCAGGCUCAUCUCGUCACUGAAGGGAAUCUGCGCUUCACGUUAUGAGGUGAAACUUUUCACAGCAGCUUAUACCACAGCCUUUUUCGGGGCACUGAGACUAGGGGAGGUGGUGGCCGACUCCAAGUCCGAUGGUUCUGGGAGGGCACUACAGCUCAGGGAUGUUUCUAUCAGGCAUAAUUCACUGGUUAUUCGGAUCAGGCAAUCCAAGACUGAUCAAGGGGGAAGAGGGGCAUCCCUCAACAUCCAAGGGUUAGAACCGGGGCGGUUAUGUCCAGUCAGGGCACUCUCUGAAUUUUUACACAUGCGUAGGUCAUCCCCGGGAACGCUUUUCGUCCAUCGCAAUGGUACCCCACUAUCUAGGUACCAGUUCAUGGCAAUAUUCCGUAGCACCCUACGAGGCCUGGGCCUUCCCACUGCUGAGUACGGAGGGCACUCAUUCAGGAUAGGAGCAGCCACCACUGCAGCGGUGGGAGGUGUGCCAGUGGAUAUCAUAAAAGCCAUGGGGAGGUGGAAAUCGGCAGCUUACUCGUCAUACAUCAGACCC
rnacentral:lncRNA from 1 species